rnacentral:rRNA from 1 species
AGCAGCCGCGGUAAUUCCAGCUCCAAUAGCGUAUAUUAAAGUUGUUGCAGUUAAAAAGCUCGUAGUCGGAUGCAAGACAAGGCCGCGGGUUGGUCGAACAGACCGCACUGGCGCGCUGCGUCUCAAUGCCGGGGAAGGGGCCAGCCUUCGGGGUGGCCGGGGAACCGGGUUUACUGUGAAGAAAU